rnacentral:tRNA from 1 species
GGGAUGGUGGUUCAGUGACCGAAUUCUCACCUUCCAUGUGGAAGACCUGGGUUCAAUUCUCAGCCAAUGCA